AUACGUAUGGGGCGAGCGUUAUCCGGAUUCAUUGGGCGUAAAGCGCGCGUAGGCGGAGCGCUAAGCGGGACCUCUAACCCGAGGGCUCAACCCCCGGCCGGGUCCCGAACUGGCGCUCUCGAGUGCGGUAGGGGAGAGCGGAAUUCCCGGUGUAGCGGUGGAAUGCGCAGAUAUCGGGAAGAACACCGACGGCGAAGGCAGCUCUCUGGGCCGAAACUGACGCUGAGGCGCGAAAGCGUGGGUAGC
rnacentral:rRNA from 1 species